rnacentral:rRNA from 1 species
UAGAAUUUGAUGAGAAUCAAAUUUCAUCCUCUUUUUAAGACC